UGGGGAAUAUUGCACAAUGGGCGAAAGCCUGAUGCAGCAACGCCGCGUGAGUGAUGAAGGUCUUCGGAUUGUAAAGCUCUGUCUUUUGGGACGAUAAUGACGGUACCAAAGGAGGAAGCCACGGCUAACUACGUGCCAGCAGCCGCGGUAAUACGUAGGUGGCGAGCGUUGUCCGGAUUUACUGGGCGUAAAGGGUGCGUAGGCGGAUGUUUAAGUGAGAUGUGAAAUACCCGGGCUUAACUUGGGUGCUGCAUUUCAAACUGGAUAUCUAGAGUGCAGGAGAGGAGAAUGGAAUUCCUAGUGUAGCGGUGAAAUGCGUAGAGAUUAGGAAGAACACCAGUGGCGAAGGCGAUUCUCUGGACUGUAACUGACGCUGAGGCACGAAAGCGUGGGUAGCAAACAGGAUUAGAUACCCUGGUAGUCCACGCCGUAAAACGAUGAGUACUAGGUGUAGGAGGUAUCGACCCCUUCUGUGCCGCAGUAAACACAUUAAGUACUCCGCCUGGGAAGUACGAU
rnacentral:rRNA from 1 species